AGAGUUUGAUUAUGGCUCAGGAUGAACGCUGGCGGCGUGCCUAACACAUGCAAGUCGAACGAAGCACAUGCCUGGAACCCUCCGGGGGGAAGGGCAUAUGACUGAGUGGCGGACGGGUGAGUAACGCGUGGGCAACCUGCCCCGCACUGGGGGACAACAGCCGGAAACGGCUGCUAAUACCGCAUAUGCGCACAGCUUUGCAUGAAGCAGUGUGGAAAACUCCGGUGGUGCGGGAUGGGCCCGCGUCUGAUUAGCUGGUUGGCGGGGCAACGGCCCACCAAGGCGACGAUCAGUAGCCGGCCUGAGAGGGUGGACGGCCACAUUGGGACUGAGACACGGCCCAAACUCCUACGGGAGGCAGCAGUGGGGGAUAUUGCACAAUGGGGGGAACCCUGAUGCAGCGACGCCGCGUGAGCGAAGAAGUACCUCGGUAUGUAAAGCUCUAUCAGCAGGGAAGAAAAUGACGGUACCUGACUAAGAAGCCCCGGCUAAAUACGUGCCAGC
rnacentral:rRNA from 1 species